rnacentral:rRNA from 1 species
UACGAAGGGUGCGAGCGUUGUUCGGAAUUAUUGGGCGUAAAGGGUUCGUAGGCUGGAAUUUAAGUCGGGUGUGAAAUCCCAAGGCUCAACCUUGGACGUGCACUCGAAACUAUUUUUCUUGAAUGUUGGAGAGGGUAAGGGAAUUGCUGGUGUAGGAGUGACAUCCGUAGAGAUCAGCAGGAACACCGGAGGCGAAAGCGCUUACCUGGCCAAACAUUGACGCUGAGGAACGAAAGCGUGGGGAGCAAACAGG